AUCACGUGGGCAUCUUGUUAGAAUAUAGAUUCUGAUUCAGUUAGUGUGGGGUGGGCCUGAGAUUCUGUAUUUCUAACAAGCUCCCAGGGGAGGCCACU
ensembl:miRNA